UACGGAGGGAGCUAGCGUUGUUCGGAUAUACUGGGCGUAAAGCGCACGUAGGCGGCUUCUUAAGUCAGGGGUGAAAUCCUGGAGCUCAACUCCAGAACUGCCUUUGAUACUGAGGAGCUUGAGUCCGGGAGAGGUGAGUGGAACUGCGAGUGUAGAGGUGAAAUUCGUAGAUAUUCGCAAGAACACCAGUGGCGAAGGCGGCUCACUGGCCCGGUACUGACGCUGAGAUACGAAAGCGUGGGGAGCAAACAGG
rnacentral:rRNA from 1 species